GGCAAAGUGAUGAGUUGAUAUGCUCUGAAUUUUAUGUGGAAGCAUAUAAUAUCAAAGGUCUUCAAAGUUCUCUGAUUGUG
rnacentral:snoRNA from 1 species